GAUGAAGAACGCAGCGAAAUGCGAUAAGUAAUGUGAAUUGCAGAAUUCAGUGAAUCAUCGAAUCUUUGAACGCACCUUGCGCCCUUUGGCUAUUCCGAAGGGCAUGCCUGUUUGAGUAUCAUGAACACCUCAACUCUCAUGGCUUGCCGUGAUGAGCUUGGACUUUGGGGGUCUUGCUGGCCUGUGGUUGGCUCCUCUCAAAUGAAUCAGCUUACCGGUGUUUGGUGGCAUCACAGGUGUGAUAACUAUCUACGCUUGUGGUUUUCCACCAGGUUAACCUUCAGCGAUGGAGGUGCGCUGGAGCUCAUAAAUGUCUCUUCUCGGUGAGGACAGCUCUUUGAACGUUUGAUCUCAAAUCAGGUAGGACUACCCGCUGAACUUAAGCAUAUCAAUAAGCGGAGGA
rnacentral:misc_RNA from 1 species